ACGCUCGACACCUACGGAGGCAGCAGUGGGGAAUAUUGCACAAUGGGGGAAACCCUGAUGCAGCGACGCCGCGUGAAGGAUGAAGUAUUUCGGUAUGUAAACUUCUAUCAGCAGGGAAGAAAGUGACGGUACCUGACUAAGAAGCCCCGGCUAACUACGUGUCAGCAGCCGCGGUAAUCUGAGCGGGCUGGCAAGGC
rnacentral:rRNA from 1 species